GCGAAAGUGGCGGAACUGGUAGACGCGCGAGACUUAGGAUCUCGUGGGCCGCGCCCGUGGGGGUUCGAGUCCCCCCUUUCGCA
rnacentral:tRNA from 1 species